UUCUUCAAACAUGUUAUUAUACAGUUUAAAUAAAGUCACGAAAAAGCAGAGUCUUGUUCAUUAUUUAAUACGUAAAACAAAUUCAUCAAAUUAUAUAAGUACAAAACGAGAUGAUAAAGGCAUGGUGAAAAAAAACAAUGUUACCACACACACCGGAUAGAGCUUAAAUCUAGUUAAAUUUCGAUGGCAGUGUUGCACAUUUCCAACACUCCCUUACAACACAACAAUCGAAAGUUCAGGAAUACGUAAUUCUAAAAAAUAAAAUCAAAAAAUAGCACCUAGUAAUAAAUAAACUAGAACAAAAUCACAAAGUAAGCAAAUUUGGAUAGACAAACACAUGUCAUGAAGCACUUUAAUUCUAAAAAGAGUAGAUAAUAUGUUUAAAAAUACAAAGAACACAAGAAAUUGACAACUUUAACAAACACAUGUUUUCUUUUCUUCCUUUUACCUUACAAUUUUUUCGAGGUUGAUACUUUUAAGUUCUGUAAGUUCGUUGUCAUUUGCCUGAUAGCUAAAUUUAACCGGAAAUGCCAUUCUGAAUAAUUCUGGGUACCUUGUAGUUGUUUGGAGAUGCCAGAUGCCAUUCCAUUUGAGAUGCUGUUCAAGGUUGAUCAAGAUUGAGUUCUGAUUCUGGUUGUGUGAGUCCAUAGUGACAAAGUUCGGAGAUUGAGGUCUGUUUGUUCUGUUUGAGAUCCAAUGAUCGAGUUCUAGUUCUUGUUCAAAGUCCAAGGAGUUCGAGGCCAAAUAUGCCGAGUUCAGAGAGUGCGAGGCCAAAUAUGCCGAGUGUGAGGCCAUAGAUGCCGAGUUCAAAGAGUGCGAGGCCAAAAUUGCCGAGUUCAAGGAGUGCGAGGCCAAAAUUGCCGAGGCCAAAAAUGCCAAUAGUACAGAGUACAUUACUUGAAGAAUACCAUAGUUCGAGUUCGAUUUCUGUUCGCGCACAGUUAGGCAAGGGACUGGGCCCAUAACCUGUUAUUAUACAGUUUAAAUAAAGUCACGAAAAAGCAGAGUCUUGUUCAUUAUUUAAUACGUAAAACAAAUUCAUCAAAUUAUAUAAGUACAAAACGAGAUGAUAAAGGCAUGGUGAAAAAAAACAAUGUUACCACACACACCGGAUAGAGCUUAAAUCUAGUUAAAUUUCGAUGGCAGUGUUGCACAUUUCCAA